rnacentral:rRNA from 1 species
GACGAACGCUGGCGGCGUGCUUAACACAUGCAAGUCGAACGGUAAGUCCUUCGUGUACACGCGUGGCGAACGGGUGAGUAACACGGGGGUGAUCUGCCCUGCCCUUUGGAAUAAGCGUGUGAAACUGGGUCUAAUACGGAAGAGGUUCAUGCACCUCAUGGUGUGUGGUGGAAAUCUUUUGCGGUGUGGGAUGGGCCCUCGGCCUAUCAGCUUGUUGUUGGGGUAGUGGCCUACCAAGGUGACGACGGGUCGACGGCAUGAGAGGUUGUCCGGCCACACUGGGACUGAGAUACGGCCCAGACUCCUACGGGAGGCAGCAGUGGGGAAUAUUGCACAAUGGGCGCAAGCCUGAUGCAGCGACGCCGCGUGAGGGAUGACGGACUUCGGGUUGUAAACCUCUUUCAGUAGGGACGAAGCGCAAGUGACGGUACCUAUAGAAGAAGCACCGGCCAACUACGUGCCAGCCGCCGCGGUAA